rnacentral:rRNA from 1 species
UACGUAGGGGGCUAGCGUUGUCCGGAAUCAUUGGGCGUAAAGAGCGCGUAGGCGGCCCGGUAAGUCCGCUGUGAAAGUCCAGGGCUCAACCCUGGAAUGCCAGUGGAAACUGUCGGGCUAGAGUACGGAAGAGGCGAGUGGAAUUCCUGGUGUAGCGGUGGAAUGCGCAGAUAUCGGGAGGAACACCAAUGGCGAAGGCAGCUCGCUGGGACGGUACUGACGCUGAGACGCGAAAGCGUGGGGAGCAAACAGG